AAAAAAAGUGAAACCACCCUCCAGAGUAGAAAUCUUAUAAACGCUCCACCGCCGCGUUUCCGUGUAAACAUAGCCUCAAAAGAAUCAGUGAGCGAAAUUACUAUCCGCUACAAUGACUCCUCAAGACGGCAUAGAAGAUGGGUUGCAGAACCGAUAUGGAUCGCUCUCUCACACUGAAGUCCGAGCAUCAGUCGAGAGCAGAGGGAAGGUGCCCAUUAAAUGAAAAUGCGUUUAACAUGGUGCUGUCAGGUUUGCAACUUUAAAGACAAGAUGAAGUCAAACUGAAUGUCACUCAAAGAAAAUAAACAAUGUAAAUGAUUACAAGUUUUUCCACAG